CAAAGGCCUUUUGUACUUCUUCAGUUCGUCGGGUCUGAUCACGGUACUUAUUAGUUUCUUUGAUUGUCGUGCAUCUGAACUUUGUGUGACGUUCAUGUUUUGUUUGCAGCAACUCCCAGUUGCCGCCCGCACGUCGUCUCCCUGUCGCCGCAUGUCCUGAGGUUGUACACAUAUAUUAGAUGAGAGCCGCUUGAUGACUCCGGUUAGCAGAUCUUUUGGGCACCAGUUUGGGCUUCAGAAGAGCAACUGUUUUUGGUACAAGCUAGGAGCAUGAGGGGAAACUCAGCCUGUUCUUGAUCAUCUCAUUUUGUGCAGG